rfam:Octopus bimaculoides Scaffold47738_contig_131, whole genome shotgun sequence.
GGGAGAUGAUGAUAUUCUACAUGCGUGUCAACUGACCCUUUGUGUCACAGGAAUGUGGUCAGUUCUUGACUGCAUUCCCUGUCCACGGGUGGAUGAUCAUAACUUAUAAUUCUGAUCCC